UGGAUAGUAUUAUUAAUGAAAUUUAACGGAUUUGGCGGCAAGAUAGCCACUUAGAGGAACCUGCCCUGUAAACGAUGAGCCACGAUUAACCUUACUUUUACUAGAAUCCAGUUUGUAUACCGCUGUUGUCAGUUAGUUUCUUUAGAAAACUUUCGUACAUGAUAAAUUCAAUGACUUCAAGUAAAGGUGCAGCUUAUGUAAAAGAUAGAGGUGGGUUACAAUUAAAAGGAUAAUAUGGAUAAAGUAAAGAAAAAACUUUUGAAGGUGGAUUUAAUAGUAAAGUUUAAUAAGACUUGAUUAGAGCUCUAUCUUGUGUACACACCGCCCGUCGCUCGCGGGA
rnacentral:rRNA from 1 species